CACGUUCACUGUCUUCAAACUCCGUCAUAGAUGAGCCAAGGCGCAACGUGCAUGUAAUUCCACAUCUUUAAUAAAGUGAACCAGAACGUGACGCAACUGUGGUAGACAGAAAAUAAAUAAUUACCCACAACAUUAGGUGGGAAAAAGGCUGCCUAAGUAUGAUUCCCAAUCAGAGACAAUGAUAGACAGCUGCCUCUGAUUGGGAACCACACUUGGCCAAAAACAAAGAAAUAGAAAACGUAGAAUGCCCACACAAAUCACACCCUGACCUAACCAAAUAGAAAAAUAAAACGUCUCUAAGAUCAGGGCGUGACACUUGCCCCAAACCGAGUGAGAUGGAGUACAUUUGUCAAUGGCCUAUGCUCCUCAUAGGAGCCAAAGGCUUAAGUCAAUUGAGCUUUGCGCCAGAGGCCACGAGGAUCUGUAGGAUCUUGAGGCGACCGAACCAGGCUGCCAGCAGCAGAGGAUUCAUACCAAACUGAGAAGGGACAGCAUGUUGUAGAAAUAGAAUGAACACACAUUUUCUAAGUAGCUGAUGCUGUUCACUUUACUCACCCUCUUCUGGACUCACAGCCAAUUUGAUCGCCAUGAUUAUGUAGCCUCCAUCUCUGCCUCAUAUAUAAUAUACACACAGAGCCUUCAGGAAGUAUUUUCCCCUUGACUUAUUCCAAAUGUUGUUUUAAAGCCUGAUUUUCAACAUGGAGAAAAUUGUUGCUUUUUUCACCCAUCUUAACACAAUACCCCAUAAAUGACAAAGUGAAAACAUGUUUUUAGAAAAUGUUGCUAAUUUAUUGUUAAUUAAAUACAAAAAUAUCAAAUGUACAUAAGUGUUCACACCCAUGAGUCAAUACAUGUUAGAAUCACACCUGAGAACACAUGGAUUGUACAAUAUUUGCACAUUAUUAUUUGAAAGAUUCUUCAAGCUCUGUCAAGUUGAUUGUUGAUCAUUGCUAGACAGCCAGUUAAGUCUUUCCAUAGAUUUUCAAGCAGAUGUAAGUCAAAGCUGUAACUACAGUAGGCCACUCAGGAACAUUCAAUGUUGUCUUGGUAAGCAGUGUAUAUUUGGCCUUGUGUUUUAGGUUAUUGUCCUGCUGAAAGGGGAAUUUGUCUCUGUGUCAAGUGUGCUCCCUCUCCGGCCUAGGUCACCAGGCUGCUCGUUAUGGCGCACACCUGUCACCAUCGUUACGCGCACCUGCGUGUCGUCAGACUCACCUGGACUCCAUCACUUCCCUGAUUACCUUCCCUAUAUAUGUCACUCCCUUUGGUUCCUUCCCCAGGUGUCAUUGUUUCUGUAUUAUGUCUGUGUGCUGUUAGUGUUUCUUGGUUAGUAUUAUGUUCCGUUUAUUUGAUUAAAACACUCCCUGAACUUGCU